rnacentral:rRNA from 1 species
UUGAACGCUGGCGGCAUGCCUUACACAUGCAAGUCGAACGGUAACGGGCCUUCGGGUGCCGACGAGUGGCGAACGGGUGAGUAAUACAUCGGAACGUGCCCGAUCGUGGGGGAUAACGAGGCGAAAGCUUUGCUAAUACCGCAUACGAUCUACGGAUGAAAGCAGGGGACCGCAAGGCCUUGCGCGGACGGAGCGGCCGAUGGCAGAUUAGGUAGUUGGUGGGAUAAAAGCUUACCAAGCCGACGAUCUGUAGCUGGUCUGAGAGGAUGAUCAGCCACACUGGGACUGAGACACGGCCCAGACUCCUACGGGAGGCAGCAGUGGGGAAAUUUGGACAAUGGGCGCAAGCCUGAUCCAGCCAUGCCGCGUGCAGGAUGAAGGCCUUCGGGUUGUAAACUGCUUUUGUACGGAACGAAAAGCCUUCUUUUAAUACAGGAGGGUCAUGACGGUACCGUGAGAAUAAGCACCGGCUAACUACGUG